AGAACGUCAGAAGCAGUGGAGUCAGCAUUACUGCAGUCACUGGGCCUAAUUAUGUUAUUGGACUGAAAGCGAAACUGCGGGCAUUUGUUCAGCUGUCAGAGUCGGACAUUCAGGAGAGACUGCAAGAGUUCUUCAGACAACAUGGAUUACAGCCACAGGUUUUAUCCCUGAGGAAUCUGAAGGUUAAACCAUGACACCAGUGGAGAAAAGUGCUUUAUACUUUACAAAUUUCCAAUUAAUUUCCUCAAACUGGAACAAAAAUUAAUUUGAUUGACCAUUUUUGAAGAUCUCCAUAUACAUAAUUGUUUGUAUUCUGGGUACUGAGCAGCAGCAGAGGUCAUUAACAAGUUAAAUGUUAUCUUGACCUUUUUGUAAUAUUUGUUGCUCAGAAGUUAAUAACAGGUGUGCAAAGUUUUGUUUAUCAGUGUUUUAAAUGUGAUAAUGCAAUUAAAUUAAAUACUGUGGGCAUUUAUGCUAUAUCAUUAUCUUUCUAAACCGAUGAGUUAUAUUUUUAUGGUAUCUAUUUGAACAAACAGAAUACUGCGUUAAUGUAACUCCCUUGCACCCCUUGCUGGAAAUAAAAGCAAUUACAGUGGUAUUGCUUUUGUUGUAGUGCUGGAAAAGGAGAAUCAAUCUAGCUGAGAUCAUGUCUAAAGUCAAAUUCCUUAUCACUUCUUUUUUGUCAGUGUUGCCAUAUUUCUGAUGGCCACACAUUGUAAAUAAAUAUUGUCAAGAUCA